rnacentral:rRNA from 1 species
GUAGGGUGCGAGCGUUAAUCGGAAUUACUGGGCGUAAAGCGUGCGCAGGCGGUUUCGUAAGACAGAUGUGAAAUCCCCGGGCUCAACCUGGGAACUGCGUUUGUGACUGCGAGACUUGAGUGUGGCAGAGGGGGGUGGAAUUCCACGUGUAGCAGUGAAAUGCGUAGAGAUGUGGAGGAACACCGAUGGCGAAGGCAGCCCCCUGGGUCAACACUGACGCUCAUGCACGAAAGCGUGGGGAGCAAACAGGAUUAGAUACCCUGGUAGUCCACGCCCUAAACGAUGCGAACUAGGUGUUGGGGAAGGAGACUUCCUUAGUACCGCAGCUAACGCGUGAAGUUCGCCGCCUGGGGAGUACGGUCGCAAGAUUA